AAGGGCACCACAAGAACGCGUGGAGCAUGUGGCUUAAUUUGACUCAACGCGGGAAAUCUUACCAGGUCCGAACAUACUGAGGAUUGACAGGUUGCUAUAGGAUAUUUUAAUAUUUAUUUAUAAAUAUUAAUUUUUAAUCUUAUAUUAAAUAUGCUAGUCCUUUCAUGAUUGUGUGAUAGGUGGUGCAUGGCCGUUCUUAGUUCGUGGAGUGAUCUGUCUGCUUAAUUGCGUUUCACAAUAAAUGGACAUCGAAGAGAUGCUUUGCCGCACACAAAGUUUGCAGUAAUUUGGUUUCGGCUACUUUACUCCUUUGUUGUUGCGCGGUAUCUCUACAAACAUGUCCUGAAGGCAACGAACGUGACCGCAACAUCUUGUUGCUUUUUCUUUAUAUUUUAUUUAUUUAAAAUAUAAUACACAAAAGCUAACUAGGUGGACCGCUGACAAUUUUCUAAACAGAGGAAGGUUGCGGCAAUAACAGGUCUGUGAUGCCCUUAGAUGUUCUGGGCUGCACACGUGCUACAAUGAUUAUUGCAGUAAGCAUCUUUUAUAGAAAGCAAAGGGACUUUUUUUUAAAAAGACCCUUUGUUGAGGAUAGUGUCUCUUUCUUUAAAGUAUAGUCUACUGGGGUUGAGGUUGUAUUGUAACUUCGGUUAUGAAAUGAUUUUAAUUUUGGUGGAUUAUAUGUUGGAAAGGUUUGACUUAUCUGUUUAGCCUACUUCGAAAGUAAGUAGGUAAUCAAUUCGAAGUAAUGAUUUCCUAUUUUUUUAUUAAAAAAGCACAUCUUCUAUGUUUCAUGUCCGUAGACUUUUAUCUCUUCGGAGGUAUUUGUAUCUACCUUGAAACAUGUGCUCCAUUAUUUCAUGGUGGGGACAGACCAUUGUUAAUUGUUGGUCUCGGUCUCAACUAGGAAUGCCUUGUACGGGUCUUGGUUCAACAAACCACCCGGAAUAUGUCCCUGCCCUUUGUACACACCGCCCGUCGCUCUUACCGAUGGACUAUUCUGUGAGUUUACAGGACGGGACUUCUAUUCAUUUUUAAUGAUUGAAGUCUAUAUGAAUGUACACGAACAGUGUGGUCUAAAGGAAAGAGAAGUCG
rnacentral:rRNA from 1 species